rnacentral:rRNA from 1 species
GACGUAGGGCGCGAGCGUUGUCCGGAUUUAUUGGGCGUAAAGAGCUCGUAGGCGGCUUGUCGCGUCGACUGUGAAAACCCGCAGCUCAACUGUGGGCUUGCAGCCGAUACGGGCAGGCUAGAGUUCGGUAGGGGAGACUGGAAUUCCUGGUGUAGCGGUGAAAUGCGCAGAUAUCAGGAGGAACACCGGUGGCGAAGGCGGGUCACUGGCCCGGUACUGACGCUGAGGCACGAAAGCGUGGGGGAGCAAACAGGG